AGACAUUAAAAUUUAUUGUUUACAUUGUUUUUGAAGCAAACUUAAAAAACCUUUAAAUUUCAAUUUCUUUAAAAAUCAAAACUUUCAACAACGGAUCUCUUGGUUCUCGCAUCGAUGAAGAACGCAGCGAAUUGCGAUACGUAUCAUGACUUGCAGACGUGAAUCAUCAAUCUUUGAACGCACAUUGCGCCUUGAGGUAUUCCUCAAGGCAUGCCUGUUUGAGCGUCGGCUCCCUUCAAACCCCCGGGUUUGGUGUUGCCUUCCGAAAUAUCACAGUUGUUGCAAUACGUUACUUCAACUUUAUUCUUUCGCCCUCAAAUCAGGUAGGACUACCCGCUGAACUUAAGCAUAUCAAUAAGCGGAGGAA
rnacentral:rRNA from 1 species